UGCAGUCGAACGGUAACAGGAAGUGCUUGCACUUCGCUGACGAGUGGCGGACGGGUGAGUAAUACUUAGGGAUCUGCCUUCGAGUGGGGGACAACCAUUGGAAACGAUGGCUAAUACCGCAUAACGUCUACGGACCAAAGUGGGCUUCGGCUCACGCUUGAAGAGGAACCUAAGCGAGAUUAGCUAGUUGGUGAGGUAAGGGCUCACCAAGGCGACGAUCUCUAGCUGUUCUGAGAGGAAGAUCAGCCACACUGGGACUGAGACACGGCCCAGACUCCUACGGGAGGCAGCAGUGGGGAAUAUUGCACAAUGGGGGAAACCCUGAUGCAGCCAUGCCGCGUGUGUGAAGAAGGCCUUCGGGUUGUAAAGCACUUUCAGUUGUGAGGAAAGGUUGGUAGUUAAUACCUGCUAGCCGUGACGUUAACAACAGAAGAAGCACCGGCUAACUCCGUGCCAGCAGCCGCGGUAAUACGGAGGGUGCGAGCGUUAAUCGGAAUUACUGGGCGUAAAGCGCACGCAGGCGGUUUGUUAAGCUAGAUGUGAAAGCCCCGGGCUCAACCUGGGAUGGUCAUUUAGAACUGGCAGACUAGAGUCUUGGAGAGGGGAGUGGAAUUCCGGUGUAGCGGUGAAAUGCGUAGAUAUCUGGAGGAACAUCAGUGGCGAAGCGACUCCCUGGCCAAAGACUGACGCUCAUGUGCGAAAGUGUGGGUAGCGAACAGGAUUAGAUACCCUG
rnacentral:rRNA from 1 species